UGGGGAAUAUUGGACAAUGGGCGAAAGCCUGAUCCAGCAAUGCCGCGUGAGUGAAGAAGGCCUUCGGGUUGUAAAGCUCUUUUGCCCGGGAUGAUAAUGACCGUACCGGGAGAAUAAGCCCCGGCUAACUCCGUGCCAGCAGCCGCGGUAAUACGGAGGGGGCUAGCGUUGUUCGGAAUUACUGGGCGUAAAGCGCACGUAGGCGGCUUUUCAAGUCAGAGGUGAAAGCCCGGGGCUCAACUCCGGACU
rnacentral:rRNA from 1 species